CUCGCUCAUUUCUUCUCUCUCUCCGCUGCCUCGGAGCAGGAGAGCGCCGGCAGCGGAGCGACGAAGCGCGGCCUGAGCGGCGCAGGCAGGAGGGCGCCGGAGGGCGGGGUGCCGGGGUGCGCCGGGUAGAGGGAGGGGGCUCCGGCGCGGUUGGGGAGGGGGCGAGAGCGGCCGUGCUCGGCGGCGCGGCCACGAUAGGAGCGCGGCGGCUUUGGGCCGGCGGCGCAGCUCGGGGCGGCUUCGGGCGACGGCGUGGUGCGAGCUCGACGCACGCCUGGCGUCCAGGAGCCGGAAGGAGGAAGGGGCGGCGUCGGGCGGCUCGGCGGCGCUCGGGAAGGAAGGACGUGACGACGGCGGGCAGGUUUUAUAGCAGCAUCCAUGCCAGUGACCCCAGACACUGCUCAUAAUUCACUGUCUAAUGACAGGAGUGCCACUCCAGAGCCUCCAGUGGGCUCUGGCCUCAACCAUGCUGGUUCUGAAAUGUUUCAACCAACUGAAAGAAAGGGUAGAUUAAAAGGUUCUGCACCACAUGACACCUUGAGUAAUGCUGGAACUGCUGCCAGUGCUGGCAUGGGUACAUCUGUCUUGGUUCCUGUGAAGGCGACACAAUUCGAGUCCGGCAGUGCUAUCACCCAUACGAAGGACAUCCCAAGACCAGCUGGUGAUAUUUCCAAUGCAAUCAUUUCUACUGGUACCCUGAUCCCUCAGAAGGUGUCGCAGGUGAAGCUUGUUAAGGACAUCAGCCAACAAACGAACACCCAAAAGCUAGUUGGCUCUACUUCCAAUACAGGUGAUCGCAACGAUCCGAUGAUCUCUGCAAAGGUGCCUCAGCUCCAGUUAGUGAGGGACACCACCCUCCAGAUGGUCACUGGGAAGCCAGCUAGCAUUGCCACCAGUGCAAGCCAUGGUACUGCUGUGCCGAUCUCUCGGCAGGUGCCCUGGGUCAAGUUGGUGAAGGAUGUCACCCCGCAGAUGCUCACCUCGAGACUUGGCAGUGCUGCUGUCAAAGUUGACUAUCGUACGGCUGUGGCGAUCCCUCAGAAGUUGUCCCAGCUCAAGUUAGUCAAGGAUAUCACACCGCAUACAGCCACCCAAAAGCCUGCCACGAUUGCGGCGAAGGCCAUUCACCAGAAGAAGCGGAAAGCUAACAGUGACCCUGGCGAGAGCCCACUGGCACGGCAUAAGCCGACUAUCAAUGACGUGCCACCCAGCCCUUUUGAAAGAUCAUCAGUAAGCAGCAUUCCGCAUCACUUCAGCAAAGCUAUGCUGACCGACAAUCUUAGGUCACUCACAAAGCUUCACUUGGCUGAUGAACUGCCUCGCACAUUAACAACGUCGACCAAGAACGAUGAUAUGCGCUUCUUAACCCGAUCUGAGCUGAUGGAGAACCUGAGAUUCCUUGCAAAGAACCACAACUUUUCAAAUGUUGCCACGAAUGAUGGUAACUAGAACUCUAGAAGAAUUUCCAGGAGGAAUGGCAUAGAUGAUGAUAUGCACCUCUGCUGCCUGUAAGUUUCUGGAUGACGAAUUGAGGACAAGAACUCGUGGCGGGAACUUUUGUGGGUGCCCGUGCCAUUUGCAGCAACUCUGGAUUGUUCGGGUCUUUGGGGGAGGAUUUUCCACUGUUACACCAUACCAUCAGAUGUGGGGUGAUGACAUCAGCAUGUCGAACGAAAUCCUGGAAAAAAAACUCUAUAUGCAACUCUGGAUUGUUCGGAGAGGAUUUUCCACUGUUACACCAUACCAUCAAAUGUGGGGUGAUGACUGAUGACAUCAGCAUGUGCAACGAAAUCCUGGAAAAGAACUCUAUAUGGUGUGUAUAAUUUAUAAUAUGCUGAAGUUUGCUAAAUUGAUACAAGCUCAGAAGCUCAUCAUGCCAUGCAAGAUCUGAUUGAAUGCUUCUGAUACUCAUUCUUCAAUCAAACUGUUCAUAGUUCAUACAUUAAAUAUCUGCGUGUUUGCUUUAGGAAUUAGCAGAGACAAUUCGGCUAAUGAAUUGAUGCACAACGAGACCUCGUGAACAUGUAUGAUUGUACAAGUUGUUUUCCCUAAUCCUUCUAUUUUCAUAAAUAUCUGUUAACCUUCCAUAAAAAAAAGAGGCAUAAACUUUUGUGCCAUCUUAUUAGGAACAUCUCAGUGCUUCAGUGCUAUGGAAGAGAAAGCAUGGAAAUUCGUUACUCCUUUCUAAUCAAAUAUAUUUUGUGGAAUACACAAUAACAUAUUAACUUUUCUGUUUGCAUGUUGAUCAAGGAAAAAUCAUCUAACCAAACUCCAAAUAGAACAACAUAAUUUAUUUUAGAACAUUGCUACUAGUUCGUAAGCAGCUUUCUUAUGUCAAUUUUUGAAAGCGUUUGCGUCAUUCAACUACCCAUUGGCACAACAUAGUUAAAGAUGCUCAUCUGAUUUUAUUGAUAAAAAUGACAACUGUCCCCGCUGCGUGCAGAGAUGCAGAGAAUAGGUGUCUGACAAAAUUCAAGUGCCAAAGGCUCAGCCUGGCUCAGGCGAAAUCCGCCAUCAUUUGCAGCCUGGUUUCUGCAGAGCCCUAAAACUGUCGCUGACUCACCUACUUGCUUGGCAACACCUCUAGUUUGAUGUACAGAAGUAACUCUUUUUGACAAACCAGCAAAUUGAUCGUGUAUGUACGGUCAUAUUCUGCUCCAUUUGAUGCCACCAAGGUCAACCGUUAAUUUUCGUAAAUCUGAAGUUCUGAACUUUGUCAUCAUGUCUCUUGGUGUGUGAAUGCAGCAGGAAUUAGAAUUCCAUGCCAUGAUGCUCUUGCCAAGCUGAAUAAUGUGUGUAUUCAAGACUUCAAGGUUAAUGCAUGAAUGUUUGGUACA